rnacentral:lncRNA from 1 species
CAUGACCCUUGUCCUUGGAAAACCCUAAGAGCCUUCCUAGGCACAUACCUACCCUGCUGAGUUGUUUGUCUGCAAAUAACAGGAGAGAUCUGUGGCGCCAGGUGUCCCUGACUCAGUUAGGCUAGGUAAGGACUCAUAGCAACCCCCUAGCAACCACCAAUCAGAAUGAGACAGGGAAAAUACCUGGGAUGCCAGAUGAACCCCUAGUAGUUUAUGGUGGUUGAUAACAUGUUGGGAAACCAUGUAGUUUAUCACGUACACCCCUCGUGGCUUAAACCAAUCAGUUCAAACGAAUCCCCCUCUUGUACUAACCAAUCACCCUACCCAACUUGUUCCCACCAGUGAAUGUGCUAAUCAAUGUUAAGAGUUGUUGUUUGAUUUUCCCGUGGUAUGGAAUGAUUUGCUGUGUGAUGUUGUGACGCAUUGAGUAUCCCCAAAAACCUAUAAAAUCUCACUGAACAAAGGACCGGGAUACUCCCUGGGACUGCUGUGUCAGGAACGAUUGUGAGUCCAGGCUCGAGCUUGCAAUAAAGACUCUUGUGUGAUUGCAUCGGAUUCGGCUCCUGGAGGUCUAUUGGGGUCCUACAAAUCUGGUACUGCAUUACAGUAUCACAUUCUUCACUAGGAUACUUAGUAAACAACUCCAUACUGACAAUAUUAUUAACUUAAAAUUUAGCAUGCAUGUCACGACUUGGAAAAGAGUCUUCC